GUGAAACUUUGGUUUAUUCCGAAGACAGCAGGGGCAACUUGCUUAAAUAUCCUGCCGAGGUUGAAGCCUGAAGAAAAUGACAUCUGAGUAAAUGGUAGGUUUUGCUAACUAUUUCUCUGAUUAAAUUGGACUUCAGCCCCGGCAAAUUGUUAGGGGUUUAUUUUUUUCCCA
rfam:Crocosphaera watsonii WH 8501 ctg241, whole genome shotgun sequence.